AAUAUAGUUAUUAUUAAUAAUGAUUUGUAAUCGAUCUUAGCCUUUAAUUCAAUUAGUUAAUGCUCAGGAUCUGUUCUUACUGUUUUUAGAUUAAAUAAGGUUUGUAUGGGAUCUUAACUCCUUGUGCUAAAUUAGAGUUACUAACAAAUAUCUUCAAACUUUUACCAUAAGAUGCCUUGGAUCAGGAACCAACAUCUUUGUUUUCAAAUGUAUAUAUCUGUUUGCAUUCGAUUUCGAAGGUGUCAUGUGUGUUUCAGGAUACCCAUUUACCAGGGGCGGAUCCAAGGGUUUAUUUGGGCUUCCCGGGAACCCCUUUCGCUUUGGAAAAAAUUAGUGGAAAACUUUUUGAUUUGAAAAAAUCGUUGAGAAUCUACCAAAAGGAACCCAGUGGAAAAAAUUCAUGGAUCUGCCAUUGCCCAAACACGUUCCACUACAUAUCCACUCUUUUACCCGAACCAUUGCGUCAACACAUAUUCAACUAGCUAGAUGUUUUUCACCAACUUUAUCCCCUGUAUUAAGCUGGAUUUUUGGAUGGGGCUCACAUAGUUUAAACAAUUGUGAUAUAAAUUCUAUUUUGAGCAAAAUGGAGGGACUAAAACCGAAGUUUACUAUUUAGUAUGAGCAGGAAAUAACGAACUUGUUAUCUCCAAAACUCACAGUUAUAGCACCAGAAGAUUGUGAUGUUUGUCUCAAUGAGCCUGAUCAGCAGAGUGAGAGUGACUCAAAGCUGUUGCGUUUAUUGUUCUGUCUCUUCUUCGACACUGUUAACAAGGUGGUGGUUGUAUUGUACUUAUGUUCUUACACGCGUGAAACUGAUGAGGAAAUGAGGUAUGAAAGAGGAGAAGAAACAGUGGUUCACACAGGGGACGGUGAGUAUUAUACGAUCAAAAAGAAGAAGUGAUUUUGGUAGAUAGAUUUUGGAAAUACCAUACUGCUAACAUUGCUAUGAGAUAAGAUCCACUCUUAGGGAAUGGCUGUGAUCAAAAAAAGAUGUGAUUUUUGUUAGAUAUAUCUUUGAAAUACCAUACUGUUAA